rnacentral:rRNA from 1 species
GACGAACGCUGGCGGCGUGCCUAAUACAUGCAAGUUGAGCGCUGAAGGUUGGUACUUGUACCGACUGGAUGAGCAGCGAACGGGUGAGUAACGCGUGGGGAAUCUGCCUUUGAGCGGGGGACAACAUUUGGAAACGAAUGCUAAUACCGCAUAAAAACUUUAAACACAAGUUUUAAGUUUGAAAGAUGCAAUUGCAUCACUCAAAGAUGAUCCCGCGUUGUAUUAGCUAGUUGGUGAGGUAAAGGCUCACCAAGGCGAUGAUACAUAGCCGACCUGAGAGGGUGAUCGGCCACAUUGGGACUGAGACACGGCCCAAACUCCUACGGGAGGCAGCAGGAGGGAAUCUUCGGCAAUGGACGAAAGUCUGACCGAGCAACGCCGCGUGAGUGAAGAAGGUUUUCGGAUCGUAAAACUCUGUUGGUAGAGAAGAACGUUGGUGAGAGUGGAAAGCUCAUCAAGUGACGUUAACUACCCAGAAAGGGACGGCUAACUACGUG